AUUGAACGCUGGCGGAAUGCUUUACACAUGCAAGUCGAGCGGCAGCGCGGCCUUCGGGCUGGCGGCGAGCGGCGAACGGGUGAGUAAUGCAUCGGAACAUGCCCAGUCGUGGGGGAUAACACUUCGAAAGAAGUGCUAAUACCGCAUACGUCCUGAGGGGGAAAGCGGGGGAUCGCAAGACCUCGCGCGAUUGGAGUGGCCGAUGUCAGAUUAGCUAGUUGGUGGGGUAAAGGCCUACCAAGGCGACGAUCUGUAGCUGGCCUGAGAGGAUGAUCAGCCACACUGGGACUGAGACACGGCCCAGACUCCUACGGGAGGCAGCAGUGGGGAAUUUUGGACAAUGGGGGCAACCCUGAUCCAGCCAUUCCGCGUGAGUGAAGAAGGCCUUCGGGUUGUAAAGCUCUUUCGGCAGGAACGAAACGGUGGGCUCUAACAUAGUCCGCUAAUGACGGUACCUGAAGAAGAAGCACCGGCUAACUACGUG
rnacentral:rRNA from 1 species